rnacentral:rRNA from 1 species
AUUGAACGCUGGCGGCAGGCCUAACACAUGCAAGUCGAACGAGUAGCGGACGGGUGAGUAAUGUCUGGGAAACUGCCCGAUGGAGGGGGAUAACUACUGUAAACGGUAGCUACUACCGCAUACCAUCGGAUGUGCCCAGAUGGGAUUAGCUAGUAGGUGGGGUAACGGCUCACCUAGGCGACGAUCCCUAGCUGGUCUGAGAGGAUGACCAGCCACACUGGAACUGAGACACGGUCCAGACUCCUACGGGAGGCAGCAGUGGGGAAUAUUGGACAAUGGGCGCAAGCCUGAUGCAGCCACGCCGCGUGUAUGAAGAAGGCCUGCGGGUUGUAAAGUACUUUCAGCGGGGAGGCGGUACUCGCAGAAGAAGCACCGGCUAACUACGUGCCAGCAGCCGCGGUAAUUC